UUAUAGCCCUGAUCGGAGCGGCAUCCCCGAUCCUUCAUCGGGAUAAAGCGCAGAGCAGGAGUCAAC
rnacentral:sRNA from 1 species